GCAGUCGUGGCCUAGUGGAUAAGGUGAUUGACUGGAGAUUAAAAGAACGCUGGUUAGAUCCCCAGCUCCACUGGG